AUCCGAGUGACGAGUUCCAAAUUGGACGAAACGCGCGUCCUGGAU
rnacentral:hammerhead_ribozyme from 1 species